CAGAGAGAAAGAUCAUGGAAGGAUAUGGGAAAGAAAGACUCAUGAGUGGAAAGUGGUGCAGGCUUUGUCUUCCUAGGGAAUCUCAAAUAUACAUAUUCUAUCAUCACAUAUCUUUUUAAACAACUUGUUUCUGUAAGUGUUUUUUUCUUCUUUUUUUUUUGUUUGAAAAUGAUGUUUCUGUAAGUUUUCUAUAAAAUUCCAACAAUUUUAAAGAUUAUUAGAAAACCAAACCCCAGCAAUUUAACAUUGUUUUCUUAGCAUUACGUGAAUGAUCAUGAACGGUCUUG
rnacentral:lncRNA from 1 species